UACGUAGGGGGCAAGCGUUGUCCGGAUUUAUUGGGCGUAAAGAGCGUGUAGGCGGCCAGGUAGGUCCGUUGUGAAAACUCGAGGCUCAACCUCGAGACGCCGAUGGAAACCAUCUGGCUAGAGUCCGGAAGAGGAGAGUGGAAUUCCUGGUGUAGCGGUGAAAUGCGCAGAUAAUCAGGAAGAACACCCGUGGCUAAGGCGGCUCCUCUAGUAACGGUACUGA
rnacentral:rRNA from 1 species